rnacentral:ncRNA from 1 species
CGGUUUCGGUCCCCCGACGAGGGGGCCAAAAGGGAAUCAGGUGCAAAUCCUGAGCAGUCCCGCUGCUGUGAGUUUCAGCCACAUAGACCAUCCAUAGGCCACUGCCCGCCGACAUAGGCAGGUGGGAAGGCGGAGGGUCGGAAACAAGCCAGAAGACCUGCCGAAGCCAC